GAUUAGAUACCCUGGUAGUCCACGCCGUAAACGAUGAGUGCUAAGUGUUAGAGGGUUUCCGCCCUUUAGUGCUGAAGUUAACGCAUUAAGCACUCCGCCUGGGGAGUACGGCCGCAAGGCUGAAACUCAAAGGAAUUGACGGGGGCCCGCACAAGCGGUGGAGCAUGUGGUUUAAUUCGAAGCAACGCGAAGAACCUUACCAGGUCUUGACAUCCUCUGACAACCCUAGAGAUAGGGCUUCUCCUUCGGGAGCAGAGUGACAGGUGGUGCAUGGUUGUCGUCAGCUCGUGUCGUGAGAUGUUGGGUUAAGUCCCGCAACGAGCGCAACCCUUGAUCUUAGUUGCCAUCAUUUAGUUGGGCACUCUAAGGUGACUGCCGGUGACAAACCGGAGGAAGGUGGGGAUGACGUCAAAUCAUCAUGCCCCUUAUGACCUGGGCUACACACGUGCUACAAUGGACGGUACAAAGAGCUGCAAGACCGCGAGGUGGAGCUAAUCUCAUAAAACCGUUCUCAGUUCGGAUUGUAGGCUGCAACUCGCCUACAUGAAGCUGGAAUCGCUAGUAAUCGCGGACCAGCAUGCCGCGGUGAAUACGUUCCCGGGCCUUGUACACACCGCCCGUCACACCACGAGAGUUUGUAACACCCGAAGUCGGUGGGGUAACCUUUUUGGAGCCAGCCGCCUAAGGUGGGACAGAUGAUUGGGGUGAAGUCGUAACAAGG
rnacentral:rRNA from 1 species